GCAUCAAAGUGAUCUUACCUGCAUUCUGCCAGAAGAUGGAGCUCUAGGAACCAUUCUAGUUCAGUCUCAGUUCAGUUGUUUAAAACAGAGACAGACUUACAUUGAGUCACUUAUACUCUAGUAGAGAACUGUGAGUCUUGAGUCUCAAAGUCAUUGACUCUUACUAGUGCAGAUGUUGCUCCUGGUAUUCAUUUUAUUUUCUCUGCUAAAAGAGAAUGCUGCUGCAGACGUGAUAACACCAUUAUUCACAGACAAGCAUGUUUUGGAAGGAAAAGAUAUAACACUGAUCUGCAAUUACACUGUCAGUGUUCAAAAUUUGCAGUGGUACCGUCAGUAUCCCGGAUCCAAACCUGAACACCUAAUAUUGUUCUUUGAGACCGACUCCAAACCAAAGUCCUCUCUCCGUCUGACCGUUGCAGCUGAUAAAGCCAACAAACAAAUGAAUCUGACGAUCUCUUCUACAGAAGUGAAAGACUCUGCCAUGUACUACUGUGCCCUGCAGCCCACAGUGACAGGAAACACUACUGCACCCUACAAAAACUCAAUGAGAAAUUAUAUUCAAGGCAGAGGAUCAUGAUGCACAAUGCUGAUUUAAAAACAGUGGCACUGUACAACUAUCAAAUGUUUCAAGCAUUAAUGUGCUGUUCAUUAUUAUUAUGAGGUAGUCUAAUCUUAUUAAUAGUUAAUAUUAGGGCACACUAUAAGUUGUAAAUGCUUUUAAAACUUAUUCCAACAUGUAGCAACUGUGUGUCGACUUAAACUGGGUGAGCAACAGACUCGCUCACCCAGUUUAAAUCUAGAUUAAAGACUCAUCUCUUUAGCCAAGCAUUCACAUAAUGCAUCUCUUAUUUGCUAACUGCAUUCUUUAAAUUGUAAUGUUGCCAUGCAUUCUCUGUAAAGCUGCAUUGAAACAAUAUGUAUUGUGAAAAGCGCUAUACAAAUAUGUGAAUUGAAUUAAUAAAGAGUGUAAUAUUAGAUGAAUCAGACUGACAUAAUGGCUUUAGGUUUUAGGUUGUUGACUACAGCUUCUUCUUCAUACAGUCAGUGUUUGUAGGGUAAGAUGAGCAAGAAGGUACAGUAAGUGUGGGAGGAGCUCAAUGUUUUGUCGACUCCUGCAGAAUAAAUCAAAUAGACAACACUGACUUCCCUUCAUACUGAUGAAACUGAUAGAAUCUGAACUCAAACUACA